rnacentral:rRNA from 1 species
GAUGAACGCUGGCGGCGUGCCUAAUACAUGCAAGUCGAGCGAACAGACGAGGAGCUUGCUCCUCUGACGUUAGCGGCGGACGGGUGAGUAACCCGUGGAUAACCUACCUAUCAGCCUGGGAUAACUUCGGGAAACCGGAGCUAAUACCGGAUAAUAUAUUGAACCGCAUGGUUCAAUAGUGAAAUACGGUUUUGCUGUCACUUAUAGAUGGAUCCGCGCCGCCUUAGCUAGUUGGGAAGGUAACGGCUUCCCAAGGCGACGAUGCGUAGCCGACCUGAGAGGGUGAUAGGGCACACUGGAACGGAGAAACGGUCGAGACUACUACGGGAGGAAGCAGUAGGGAAUCGUACGCAAUGGGCGAAAGCCGGACGGAGCAACGCAGCGUGAGUGAUGAAGGUCUUCGGAUCGGAAAACGCGGUGAUUAGGGAAGAACAAAUGUGUAAGUAACUAGGCACGUCUUGACGGUACCUAAUCAGAAAGCCACGGCUAACUACGUG